UACGGAGGAUGCAAGCGUUAUCCGGAAUGAUUGGGCGUAAAGCGUCCGCAGGUGGCUGUGUAAGUCUGCUGUUAAAGAGUGAGGCUCAACCUCAUAAAGGCAGUGGAAACUACAUGGCUAGAAUGCGUUCGGGGCAGAGGGAAUUCCGGGUGUAGUGGUGAAAUGCGUAGAGAUCCGGAGGAACCCCAGAGGCGAAGGCGGCGCCCUGGCUCGCAACUGACGCUCAGACACGACAGCAUGGGGAGCGAACGGG
rnacentral:rRNA from 1 species